rnacentral:rRNA from 1 species
UACGUAGGGUGCAAGCGUUAAUCGGAAUUACUGGGCGUAAAGCGCACGUAGGCGGCUUGGCAAGUCGGAUGUGAAAUCCCUCGGCUCAACCAAGGAAGUGCAUCCGAAACUGCUGAGCUUGAGUACUUAAGAGAUCGCGGAAUUCCCGGUGUAGAGGUGAAAUUCGUAGAUAUCGGGAGGAACACCAGUGGCGAAGGCGGCGAUCUGGGAAGAUACUGACGCUGAGGUGCGAAAGCGUGGGGAGCAAACAG